UACGUAGGCAGCAAGCGUUGUUCGGAAUUACUGGGCGUAAAGAGUGUGUAGGCGGUGCUCUAAGUUUGGUGUGAAAUCUCCCGGCUCAACUGGGAGGGUGCAUCGAAAACUGGAAUGCUCGAGGGUGGGAGAGGUAAGCGGAAUUCCUGGUGUAGCGGUGAAAUGCGUAGAUAUCAGGAGGAACACCUGUGGUGUAGACAGCUUACUGGACCACUUCUGACGCUGAGACACGAAAGCGUGGGUAGCAAACAGG
rnacentral:rRNA from 1 species